AUUGAACGCUGGCGGCAUGCCUUACACAUGCAAGUCGAACGGCAGCACGGGUGCUUGCACCUGGUGGCGAGUGGCGAACGGGUGAGUAAUACAUCGGAACGUACCUUAUCGUGGGGGAUAACGCAGCGAAAGCUGUGCUAAUACCGCAUACGCCCUGAGGGGGAAAGCGGGGGAGCGAAAGACCUCGCGCGAUUAGAGCGGCCGAUGCCUGAUUAGCUUGUUGGUGGGGGAAAAGCCCACCAAGGCGGCGAUCAGUAGCUGGUCUGAGAGGACGAUCAGGCACACUGGGACUGAGACACGGCCCAGACUCCUACGGGAGGCAGCAGUGGGGAAUUUUGGACAAUGGGGGCAACCCUGAUCCAGCAAUGCCGCGUGAGUGAAGAAGGCCUUCGGGUUGUAAAGCUCUUUUGUCAGGGAAGAAACACCGGCUCUAACACAGUCCGGGAAUGACGGUACCUGAAGAAUAAGCACCGGCUAACUACGUGCCAGCCGCCGCCGUAA
rnacentral:rRNA from 1 species